rnacentral:ncRNA from 2 species
CACUUAUCAAGAAAGGCAGAGGGUUAUGGCCCGAUGAAGCCUUGACAACCUGUUUUUCCGCCACGGCGGAAAGGCAAGGUGCCAAUUCCAUCCCGGAAAUUCCGGGGCAGAUAAGUC